UACCAGCACCCCGAGUGGUCGGGACGUUUUAUUGGGCCUAAAGCAUCCGUAGCCGGUUCUACAAGUCUUCCGUUAAAUCCACCUGCUUAACAGAUGGGCUGCGGAAGAUACUAUAGAGCUAGGAGGCGGGAGAGGCAAGCGGUACUCGAUGGGUAGGGGUAAAAUCCGUUGAUCCAUUGAAGACCACCAGUGGCGAAGGCGGCUUGCCAGAACGCGCUCGGACGGUGAGGGAUGAAAGCUGGGG
rnacentral:rRNA from 1 species